UAUAUGAAGGGUGCGUUACUAGAAAAGUUUAUUAGAAUUACAUUUGUUUUUAGAGUGUUAUAAGUUAUAUAAGUGUUAUAGAGGGGUAUUAUAUGAUAGUUAUAGAUGCGGAAGUGUUGUACUGAGUAACAUGAGAGGAUACAGGGUGGGGUUGUAGAUCACCGUUGCCUGAGUGGUAGGGACAGCGAUAUGUUGUAAUAGG